GGGGGGAUGAUAUCAGUAGUGUUAUUGGGGAGGAUUGGGACGAUAUCAGUAGUGUUAUUGGGGAGGAUAGGGACAAUAUCAGGGGCUAAUAUGGAGGGUUCAGGGCUAAUAUGGAGGUACCUGUAGCUCAUAGAGUUGAAUAGAGGGCACAUACCAAUGUCUCUGCCCGUGCUAAAAACCAGCUUUGUGGCAAGUGAGCCCUCGAUCCAACUCUAUGGUUUAUAUCGAGGUUUUGGAAGUAGUUUUGACGGUCACCUGACUUGUAAAUGAAGAAAAAACGAACGAACCCAAGCCUGGCUUUGUUUUUCAAAUUUGAACAAACCCCCCCAAUGCAAACGGUUUCUUAUUUUAUUUAGACAUUUUCUUUGUGGUGUGUGUGUGU
rnacentral:lncRNA from 13 species